UCAUGGCUCAGAUUGAACGCUGGCGGCAGGCCUAACACAUGCAAGUCGAGCGGAUGACAGGAGCUUGCUCCUGAAUUCAGCGGCGGACGGGUGAGUAAUGCCUAGGAAUCUGCCUGGUAGUGGGGGACAACGUUUCGAAAGGAACGCUAAUACCGCAUACGUCCUACGGGAGAAAGCAGGGGACCUUCGGGCCUUGCGCUAUCAGAUGAGCCUAGGUCGGAUUAGCUAGUUGGUGAGGUAAUGGCUCACCAAGGCGACGAUCCGUAACUGGUCUGAGAGGAUGAUCAGUCACACUGGAACUGAGACACGGUCCAGACUCCUACGGGAGGCAGCAGUGGGGAAUAUUGGACAAUGGGCGAAAGCCUGAUCCAGCCAUGCCGCGUGUGUGAAGAAGGUCUUCGGAUUGUAAAGCACUUUAAGUUGGGAGGAAGGGCAUUAACCUAAUACGUUAGUGUUUUGACGUUACCGACAGAAUAAGCACCGGCUAACUCUGUGCCAGCAGCCGCGGUAAUACAGAGGGUGCAAGCGUUAAUCGGAAUUACUGGGCGUAAAGCGCGCGUAGGUGGUUUGUUAAGUUGGAUGUGAAAUCCCCGGGCUCAACCUGGGAACUGCAUUCAAAACUGACAAGCUAGAGUAUGGUAGAGGGUGGUGGAAUUUCCUGUGUAGCGGUGAAAUGCGUAGAUAUAGGAAGGAACACCAGUGGCGAAGGCGACCAC
rnacentral:rRNA from 1 species